rnacentral:rRNA from 1 species
CCAAUAGCGUAUAUUAAAGUUGUUGCAGUUAAAAAGCUCGUAGUUGAAUUUCGGGAUCAAUAUGCCGGUCAUGCCUUGGUAUGUACUGGUAUCUUUGAUUUCUCCCUUCUGACGAACUUUGAUGUCAUUAAUUUGGUGUCAUAGGGAAUCAGGACUGUUACUUUGAAAAAAUUAGAGUGUUUAAAGCAGGCUCACGCUUGAAUACAUUAGCAUGGAAUAAUGAAAUAGGACGUUUGAUUCUAUUUUGUUGGUUUCUAGGAUCGACGUAAUGAUUAAUAGGGAUAGUUGGGGGCAUUAGUAUUCAAUUGUCAGAGGUGAAAUUCUUGGAUUUAUUGAAGACUGACUACUGCGAAAGCAUUUGCCAAGGAUGUUUUCAUUAAUCAAGAACGAAAGUUAGGGGAUCGAAGACGAUCAGAUACCGUCGUAGUCUUAACCAUAAACUAUGCCGACUAGGGAUCGGAUGAUGUUAAUUUUUUAAUGACUCAUUCGGCGCCUUACG